rnacentral:rRNA from 1 species
GAUGAACGCUGGCGGCGUGCCUAAUACAUGCAAGUCGAGCGAACGGACGAGAAGCUUGCUUCUCUGAUGUUAGCGGCGGACGGGUGAGUAAUACGUGGAUAACCUACCUAUAAGACUGGGAUAACUUCGGGAAACCGGAGCUAAUACCGGCUAAUAUUUUGAACCGCAUGGUUCAAAAGUGAAAGACGGUCUUGCUGUCACUUAUAGAUGGAUCCGCGUUGCAUUAGCUAGUUGGUAAGGUAACGGCUUACCAAGGCAACGAUGCAUAGCCGACCUGAGAGGGUGAUCGGCCACACUGGAACUGAGACACGGUCCAGACUCCGACGGGAGGCAGCAGUAGGGAAUCUUCCGCAAUGGGCGAAAGCCUGACGGAGCAACGCCGCGUGAGUGAUGAAGGUCUUCGGAUCGUAAAACUCUGUUAUUAGGGAAGAACAUAUGUGUAAGUAACUGUGCACAUCUUGACGGUACCUAAUCAGAAAGCCACGGCUAACUACGUG